UGGGGAAUUUUGGACAAUGGGCGCAAGCCUGAUCCAGCCAUGCCGCGUGCGGGAAGAAGGCCUUCGGGUUGUAAACCGCUUUUGUCAGGGAAGAAAAGCUUCGGACUAAUACUUUGGAGUAAUGACGGUACCUGAAGAAUAAGCACCGGCUAACUACGUGCCAGCAGCCGCGGUAAUACGUAGGGUGCAAGCGUUAAUCGGAAUUACUGGGCGUAAAGCGUGCGCAGGCGGUCUUGUAAGACAGAGGUGAAAUCCCCGGGCUCAACCUGGGAACUGCCUUUGUGACUGCAAGGCUUGAGUACGGUAGAGGGGGAUGGAAUUCCGCGUGUAGCAGUGAAAUGCGUAGAUAUGCGGAGGAACACCGAUGGCGAAGGCAAUCCCCUGGACCUGUACUGACGCUCAUGCACGAAAGCGUGGGGAGCAAACAGG
rnacentral:rRNA from 1 species